AACAAUAUCCUGGUGCUGAGUGAUGACUCAGGUGACUCCAGCAUCAGUGAUUUUGUUGA
rnacentral:pre_miRNA from 1 species